GCUCAUUUGAUCGAAGGAAAAGAUGGUACCCGACUUCAGAGCCGAGUACCAGUUCCUCGCUGCUCCCUUCAAAGUAGACGGAAAAGCCCGGCAUAAGAUGGCGUCAGGAGCGCCGUGAAGCAGCAUCAUCGUUCGGAAGGCCUCCAGAUGAUCAACCGGGUCCGACGUCCCGUCGAAGCUUUCGAACUGGGGAAGCUUGAAGUUCGGCGGGAUUGGUUCCUGCAUAAUCAUUUGGGAGAAGGGAGGAUCAGUGCAAAUAUCCUCACCAUA
rnacentral:lncRNA from 1 species